rnacentral:rRNA from 1 species
AUUGAACGCUGGCGGCAGGCCUAACACAUGCAAGUCGAACGCGUGGCGCACGGGUGAGUGAUAUCUGGGAAACUGCGCGAGGGAGGGGGGUAUCAACUGUAGACGGGAUCUCAUAUCGCGUACCCUCUGAUAUGCCCAGAUGGGAUUAGCUAGUAGGUGGGGUAAAGGCGCACCUAGGCGACGAUCCCUAGCUGGGCUGAGAGGAUGACCAGCCACACUGGAACUGAGACACGGUCCAGACUCCUACGGGAGGCAGCAGUGGGGAAUAUUGCACAAUGGGCGCAAGCCUGAUGCAGCCAUGCCGCGUGUAUGAAGAAGGCCUUAGGGUUGUAAAGUACUUUCAGCGAGGAGGCGUUACCCGCAGAAGAAGCACCGGCUAACUCCGUGCCAGCAGCCGCGGUAAUUC